GCAUUCCUUCCCUGGUUCCUACCCUAGUCUAAGCCCACACUCAGCAAAGGAACUGGAAUCUGGGUCUGUGCUUACAGCGAGAAUAUGAAGCAGGUGGCAAAAGUGACUGUGCUCCUAAUCUUGGCCACGGGGAGCCUUGCUAAGACCACCCAGCCCCUCUCCAUGGACUCCUACGAAGGGCGAGAAGUGAAUGUGUCCUGCAGCCACGCAAACAUCGCUACAAGCGAGUACAUCUACUGGUACCGGCAGGUCCCCCGUGAGGGGCCACACUUUAUUAUUCAAGGGUAUAAGGACAACGUGGCAAAUGAAGUGGCAUCUCUGUUCAUCUCUGCCGACAGGAAGUUCAGCACUCUGAGCCUGCCCCUGGUUUCCCUGGGAGACAGUGCCGUGUACUACUGCAUCGUGGCUGACACACAGCGAGACAGCUGGGUCUGCACCUGUGCAGCGUUUCAGUUCGAUGGUGUAAAAAUGAACAAGUUAGAGGGCAGGGGCUGGAGAAAUGGUUUAGUCAUCAAGGGCACGAGUUGGCCUUAUAGAGGACUUGGGUUUCCUACACAGCAUCCACAAGCUGUCUCCCACAACUAUCCAUGA